rnacentral:rRNA from 1 species
GAUGAACGCUGGCUGUGUGCCUAAUACAUGCAUGUCGAGCGAAGCACUUUUGUGCUUAGCGGCGAAUGGGUGAGUAACACGUACUUAACCUACCCUCAAGAUUGGGACAACACUUGGAAACGAGUGCUAAUACCAAAUACGUAUUUUUAUCGCAUGAUAGAUAUAUAAAAGGAGCUUCGGCUUCACUAGAGGAUGGGAGUGCGCUACAUUAGUUAGUUGGUAGGGUAAUGGCCUACCAAGACUAUGAUGUAUAGCGGGGCCGAGAGGCUGAUCCGCCACACUGGGACCGAGAUACGGCCCAGACUCCUACGGGAGGCAGCAGUAGGGAAUUUUCCACAAUGAACGAAAGUUUGAUGGAGCGACACAGCGUGCAGGAUGAAGGUCUUCGGAUUGUAAACUGCUGUUAUAAGAGAAGAAAAACCCUGGUAGGUAAUGACCAGGACUUGACGGUACCUUAUCAGAAAGCGACGGCUAACUAUGUGCCAGCAGCCGCGGUAAUACAUAGGUCGCAAGCGUUAUCCGGAAUUAUUGGGCGUAAAGAGUUCGUAGGUGGUUUUGUAAGUCUGAAGUUAAAUACCGGGGCUCAACCCCGGCCCGCUUUGGAUACUGCAAAACUAGAGUAAUAGAGAGGUUAGUGGAACUCCAAGUGAAGCGGUGGAAUGCGUAGAUAUUUGGAAGAACACCAAUGGCGAAGGCAACUAACUGGAUAUUAACUGACACUGAGGAACGAAAGCGUGGGUAGCAAACAGG